CACCGUCAAUUCAUUUGAGUUUUAACCUUGCGGCCGUACUUCCCAGGCGGAACACUUAAUGCGUUAGCUUCGGCACAGCAGGGGUCAAUACCCGCUACACCUAGUGUUCACCGUUUACUGCGUGGACUACCAGGGUAUCUAAUCCUGUUUGCUCCCCACGCCUUCGCGCCUCAGCGUCAGUAUUGGUCCAGGAAGCCGCCUUCGCCACCGGUGUUCCUCCGGAUAUCUACGCAUUUCACCACUACACCCGGAAUUCCACCUUCCUCUACCACCCUCUAGCCCGCCAGUCUUGAGCGACCUCUCCCAGUUGAGCCGGGAGCUUUCACACCCAACUUAGCGAGCCGCCUGCUCGCGCUUUACACCCAGUAAAUCCGGAUAACGCUCGCCUCCUACGUUUUAC
rnacentral:misc_RNA from 1 species